UCGAGCGCCGUACCAAUACGAACCGCCAGACGGGAGAGUACCACGUGGGACGUACCUUCAGUUCGGAACAACCCAGGAAACCUGGGCUAAUACGGGAUACGUCCGUAAGGAGAAAGAUUAUUCGCUGAAGGAUCGCCCCGCGUCUGAUUAGCUAGUUGGUGAGGUAACGGCUCACCAAGGCGACGAUCAGUAGCUGGUCUGAGAGGAUGAUCAGCCUCACUGGGACUGAGACACGGCCCAGACUCCUACGGGAGGCAGCAGUGGGGAAUAUUGGACAAUGGGGGCAACCCUGAUCCAGCCAUGUCGCGUGAGUGAAGAAGGCCUUCGGGUUGUAAAGCUCUUUCGUCCGGAACGAAACAGUGGAUGCUAACACCCUCCAUUAAUGACGGUACCGGAAGAAGAAGCACCGGCUAACUACGUG
rnacentral:rRNA from 1 species